ACUAGUUUAUCUAAUGGGCCAGGUUAGCGACCGAUUUCGAUGAACGUUGUUGCAAACAUUCAGUCCUGCCAGAAUAGGUACGUUUCACGUUAUCUGCAUAGUAGCAAAGAGUUGACACCUGCUCUAACUGAAAGAAACUAGAACAGGAAGACGUUCAGCAGAACGAGAGCCUUCCUUGUGCACUGCUGCUGUCUCCCUCGUUCUUCCUUGAUAAGCUGUCAUACAGAUAUCCUGCAACAUAUGGAGAAAUCUUUCUCGGUUUCAUCUUCAUAAUCCUGUUCAUAUUCGUUGUCGCUAUCAUCUUCAGCAGAGCGGGAUUUGAGACAAGCCACAGCUUUGGCACAAUCUAUUCUAUCAGCAUACCACUUCACAAGGUCAAUAUCUCUGUCAGGAUCGAAAAACCUGUAGUCCACGUCAAUCAGCGUUGGGCAAGAAACUUGUUCGUCUUGCAAAGGAAUGCAACAAGCCUGUGCCAGAUGGAUAUAAAUGUGGCAGUUGGACUGUUCUGCCAGAUUGGGCUACUCAUCCGCCAAUUUUUUUUUUUUUUU